UUCUACCUUCUACUUGAUUUAAGUAAGGGACCCAUGUGGAAAAUAUUUCAUCCAGAGACUGAAUAGGACUCUCUUACGUAGACAAAGCUAUCACAGUUUGUAUUCAGCACACAACAGGAAAAUAGAUGCAGUUCAAAUUAUUUGCAUGGGUAAAUCACAGAAGUGAGAGAGUUCUUCGAGUUCCAGAAUCAUCAGAUAAAGUAGAACCACAAAAGCUGUAGAUAACUGCUAGCAAAGAGUCUUGACCGUUUUCCAGAGGCAUGAGAUAACAGCUCCCCUAAGACUUUGGCUAUCUCCCAGAAUAAAGGAACAGAACUGUUCCUAAUGAUAUUUGUCUGUGCCAACAGUCAGUAUUGAUUUUUUUUUUCAAUAAAUUUUCGA